GAUGAACGCUGGCUGUGUGCCUAAUACAUGCAUGUCGAGCGAAGCACUUUUGUGCUUAGCGGCGAAUGGGUGAGUAACACGUAUCCAACCUACCCUUAAGACUGGGAUAACUUCUGGAAACGGAAGCUAAUACCGGAUAGGUAAUAGAGCCUUAUGGCAUUAUUAUUAAAGCAGCGUUUGCUGCACUGAAGGAUGGGGAUGCGCAGCAUUAGGUAGUUGGUGAGGUAACGGCUCACCAAGCCAACGAUGCUUAGCCGGCCUGAGAGGGUGAUCGGCCACACUGGAACUGAGACACGGUCCAGACUCCUACGGGAGGCAGCAGUAGGGAAUCUUCGACAAUGGGCGCAAGCCUGAUCGAGCAACGCCGCGUGAGGGAUGAAGGUCUUCGGAUCGUAAACCUCUGUUAUAAGGGAAGAACAGCUAGGGUAGGAAAUGGCCUUAGUAUGACGGUACCUUAUCAGAAAGCUACGGCUAACUACGUGCCA
rnacentral:rRNA from 1 species